GGCCCCGUAGCUCAGUUGGUCAGAGCAGUCGGCUCAUAACCGAUUGGUCGUAGGUUCGAACCCUACCGGGGCCACCA
rnacentral:tRNA from 1 species